rnacentral:lncRNA from 1 species
UUGGGGUCUUUGAUGAAGAAGGAGACACAGUGGGGGUUGCAGGACUCCACGUCCGGUUCGACAUUGGUGCCGGAUCCGUCGUGCGCGAGCUUGGCAAUGGUCUGCUUGGCGCCGUCGUGAGACCACCGGUGGUUGAUGUGCAGCAGGUAGUCCUGGUCGGGGCGCAGCCUCCCCCCGGCGUCCACACACUGCGCCGUGCUGGGGUAGUACACCUCGCUGCCGCUGCCGCAGAUGAGCGCGUCGAAG